CCUACGGGAGGCAGCAGUGAGGAAUAUUGGUCAAUGGCCGGAAGGCUGAACCAGCCAUGCCGCGUGAAGGUCAGUGCCCUAUGGGCGUUAAACUUCUUUUGUGCGGGAGCAAUAAUGGUCACGUGUGGCCAGACGAGAGUACCGUACGAAUAAGCAUCGGCUAACUCCGUGCCAGCAGCCGCGGUAAUACGGGGGAUGCAAGCGUUAUCCGGAUUUAUUGGGUUCAAAGGGUGCGUAGGCUGUGAGGUAAGUCAGCGGUGAAAUGCCCCCGCUCAACGGGGUGAAGUGCCAUUGAUACUGCCUGGCUGGAAUGCGGAUGCCGUGGGAGGAAUGUGUGGUGUAGCGGUGAAAUGCAUAGAUAUCACACAGAACACCGAUUGCGAAGGCAUCUCACGAAUCCGCGAUUGACGCUGAUGCACGAAAGCGUGGGUAUCAAACAGGAUUAGAUACCCGUGUAGUC
rnacentral:rRNA from 1 species